UUCUGCUAAGUCGCAAGACGAUGUAUAGGAGCUGACGCCUGCCCGGUGCUGGAAGGUUAAGGGGAUCUGUUAGAGCAAUCGAAGCAGUGAACUUAAGCCCCAGUAAACGGCGGCCGUAACUAUAACGGUCCUAAGGUAGCGACAUUCCUUGUCGGGUAAGUUCCGACCCGCACGAAAGGCGUAACGAUUUGGGCACUGUCUCAACAACAGACUCGGUGAAAUUGUAAUUCCGGUGAAGAUGCCGGAUACCUGCGACAGGACGGAAAGACC
rnacentral:rRNA from 1 species